AGCCUCGUGGUUUAGUGGCACGACACCAGCAUACCUUGAGCAUACCUCUUGAAAAAACUGAAGCUGGAGAGUCCGAGUUCGAUUCCCGGCGAGGCAG